rnacentral:rRNA from 1 species
GACGAACGCUGGCGGCGUGCCUAAUACAUGCAAGUAGAACGCACAGUUUAUACCGUAGCUUGCUACACCAUAGACUGUGAGUUGCGAACGGGUGAGUAACGCGUAGGUAACCUGCCUGGUAGCGGGGGAUAACUAUUGGAAACGAUAGCUAAUACCGCAUAAUAUUGAUUAUUGCAUGAUAAUUGAUUGAAAGAUGCUAUUGCAUCACUACCAGAUGGACCUGCGUUGUAUUAGCUAGUAGGUGAGGUAACGGCUCACCUAGGCGACGAUACAUAGCCGACCUGAGAGGGUGAUCGGCCACACUGGGACUGAGACACGGCCCAGACUCCUACGGGAGGCAGCAGUAGGGAAUCUUCGGCAAUGGACGAAAGUCUGACCGAGCAACGCCGCGUGAGUGAAGAAGGUUGUCGGAUCGUAAAGCUCUGUUGUAAGAGAAGAACGGGUGUGAGAGUGGAAAGUUCACACUGUGACGGUAUCUUACCAGAAAGGGACGGCUAACUACGCG